GACCAGGUCGGCCAAGAGAACUGGCAGCAGUUCUCUGAACAGUUCCCUCCUUUGUUGAAGGAGCGCUUGUCGGCAUGCUAUGGCGUUCAGCGCAAGUCCACAACAGACCUGUUCGGUAACCAUAGGGGAGGGUCACUGGGGAACUCUGCCCACUGUGGCAUCCUGGGUCAGCCUGAAAUAAUACCUGAGACAUGUUUUUAUAAGAUCCUGCAUGGCUUCAAGGACCAGGUCGGCCAAGAGAACUGGCAGCAAUUCUCUGAACAGUUCCCUCCUUUGUUGAAGGAGCGCUUGUCGGCAUGCUAUGUCGUUCAGCGCAAGUCCACAACAGACUUGUUCGGUUACCAUAGGGGAGGGUCACUGGGGAACUCUGCCCACUGUGGCAUCCUGGGUUAGCCCAAAAGAAUACCUGAGACAUGUUUUUAUAAGGUGGGUGGUACCUAAAAUCCUUAUUUCAUGUCAAUUCUAAAUCUGGCUCGCCGUACUAUGAUGAUCACUACUAAGACAUUCGAAACCUGACAUAACUGUGUAGAUGCUAUUUGGUUCUGAGACAAGUGGCCACAAAAAGUCUCAUUGGCAGAA